GAACGCACAUUGCACCCGGUGGUAUUCCGCCGGGUAUGCCUGUUCGAGCGUCAUUUCCACCCUCAGGCCCCCCUCCUCACGGGGGAAGGGCCUGGUGUUGGGGAUCUACGGGCCCUUCUGGCGCCCGUAGUCCCCUAAAUCAAUCGGCGUGCGCGCUGUACGUUGCCCCCUGCGUAGUAGUGAUUUCUCGCAUCGGGCCGUAGCGCUGUCCAGCCGCUAAACUGCAACUACGCAUUUAGCUAGGUUUGACCUCGAAUCAGGUAGGGUUACCCGCUGAACUUA
rnacentral:misc_RNA from 1 species